GACGAACGCUGGCGGCGUGCUUAACACAUGCAAGUCGAGCGAUGAAAGCCUUAUGAACUAUUCGUAGUGAUUGGGGCCGGAUUAGCGGCGGACGGGUGAGUAACGCGUGAGCAACCUGCCUUAAACAACGGGAUAGCCUCGGGAAACCGGGAUUAAUACCGUAUGAGACCCCGCCUUCACAUGAAGAAGAGGUUAAAGAUUUAUCGGUUUAAGAUGGGCUCGCGUCUGAUUAGCUAGUUGGUGAGGUAACGGCUCACAAAGGCGACGAUGCGUAGCCGACCUGGGAGGGUGAUCGGCCACACUGGGACUGAGACACGGCCCAGACUCCUACGGGAGGCAGCAGUAGGGAAUCUUCCACAAUGGGCGAAAGCCUGAUGGAGCAACGCCGCGUGAGUGAAGAAGGAUUUCGGUUCGUAAAACUCUGUUGUAAGGGAAGAACAAGUACAGUAGUAACUGGCUGUACCUUGACGGUACCUUAUUAGAAAGCCACGGCUAACUACGUGCCAGCAGCCGCCGUAA
rnacentral:rRNA from 1 species